CAAUAGCGUAUAUUUAAGUUGCUGCAGUUAAAAAGCUCGUAGUUGGAUUUCGGGUGGGAAUGGCCGGUCCGCCGUUUCGGUGUGCACUUGCUACGCCCACCUUGCUGCCGGGGACGUGCUCUUGAGUUCACGCUCGUGACACGGAGUCGGCGAGGUUACUUUGAGUAAAUUAGAGUGUUCAAAGCAGGCCUACGCUCUGAAUACAUUAGCAUGGAAUAACACGAUAGGACUCUGGCCUAUCUUGUUGGUCUGUAGGACCGGAGUAAUGAUUAAGAGGGACAGUCGGGGGCAUUCGUAUUUCAUUGUCAGAGGUGAAAUUCUUGGAUUUAUGAAAGACGAACUACUGCGAAAGCAUUUGCCAAGGAUGUUUUCAUUAA
rnacentral:rRNA from 1 species